rnacentral:rRNA from 1 species
GAUGAACGCUAGCGAUAGGCUUAACACAUGCAAGUCGAGGGGCAGCACAAGGUAGCUUGCUAUCUGGGUGGCGACCGGCGCACGGGUGCGUAACGCGUAUGCAACUUGCCCUAUACAGGAGGAUAACCCGUCGAAAGACGGACUAAUACUGCGUAUGCUCACAACUUGGCAUCAAGUGGUGAGGAAAGAAAUUCGGUAUAGGAUAGGCAUGCGUCCCAUUAGCUUGUUGGUGAGGUAACGGCUCACCAAGGCAACGAUGGGUAGGGGAACUGAGAGGUUUAUCCCCCACACUGGUACUGAGACACGGACCAGACUCCUACGGGAGGCAGCAGUGAGGAAUAUUGAUCAAUGGGCGCGAGCCUGAACCAGCCAAGUCGCGUGAAGGAUGACCGUCUUAUGGAUUGUAAACUUCUUUUAUACGGGAAUAACAAGAGUCACGUGUGACUCCCUGCAUGUACCGUAUGAAUAAGCAUCGGCUAACUCCGUG